GAGUCCCACAAGCAGCGAGACUGCAGACUGCGGCGCUGGCUGGGGCCACUCCUCCCGCGACACUCCGAAACUGCUCCUCUUUCCCUUGGGAUUUCUAAAGGUUCGGACCCGCUAAGACCCCUCCCUUUAAGUCCAGCCCGGGGAAGGGGAGGCGGAGAGAGCCCUGCGGGAGCAGCGCCGCAGGAAAACCCCGUGUCCCCUGCCCAGCUGGCAGGAGUGGCCCUGGCGGCGCGCGCCCAGCAGCUCCCAGGUGCAAAAACACCGGAGGCGCUUGCUGUUGUACCAUUUGUCUAUCAGUCACUAAUGAAUAUUAUUCUCCCAUUACUAUGUAUAUAAGCUAUGUAUAUGUAUUACUAUGGAUAUUCUGUAUACUGGAGCUGCACUCGUGCACAAGAUAUGGAACAAAUCCAGUAGUUUCCAAGGUCCAAAUCUAAUUAGGAAAUACUACAGAAUCAACUCUGGACUCAGCAUCUCCUUCCUCCUGUCUACAUGGUCACAUACUGGUUUUCAAAGUGCCACCUUUGCUAAUGAAGACGGUUGCUUUGGAAAUACAGAACAAGAGUAGGAGAUGUACCUCAGAGGUGGAGCACUAGCUUGUUAUAUGCAAGGUCUCUCCACUUUGAUCCCUGAUGGUGGAAAAUAAAAUAAAGUGCAAAGAAAAAAU
rnacentral:lncRNA from 1 species